rnacentral:misc_RNA from 1 species
GUCUAAAACGACCAAGCUAAAUUUGCUUGAUUCACUUCAUUAAGAGGUGUGUAUCCAAGUUGUCUGUGUCCCUCGCUUGACUUCAGCGUCAGGCUGAGAGUACAGUCUAGCUUGUGACAGUGUUUCUGCUGGAUUAAAGACAAUCCUAUCCCU